rnacentral:misc_RNA from 1 species
CAAAUAGGUCCAAAACUAUUCAAGAAAAGAGUACAACCCCUACUACCUUUUUUACAUUUAGUGAAUACAGCAUUCGUCCUCUUAAACUCCCACUUCUAAUAUUAAUAUUAAAAAAUAAAAUAUUUCUAAUAAAUAAGAAGACAUAGAAGAGUAAGAUAUAGCUAAAGAUCAACUCCUUUUUUCUCAACACUUGCCUGGUCCACUUCAAUGUCCGGUAGCAAGUCUUUGAUUGAGCUUGAGUGGCGAUAAAACUCUGCUAUGACUUCCUCGCAAUUACGGUCCAAUUCUUGGCAUUUUAAUGCUCCAGACUCCCUUACUGAGUUAAUUCUUUCAGUUAUUGCAUCCGCCUCUGCAAGUACACCUUCCAAGUCAUUUUGCCUUGCUUCAAGACCAUGCCUCUUUGAUUCCACUUCCAACUUAACAUUUUUCAAUUCUUUGUUAGCCUCCUCAAAACUAAGAUUUCUUUCUUUCUCUAAUUGCUUUCUUAAUUCUUCCAAUUGGUCCGCUUUUCCUUGCCUUUCUACUAAUUUAGCUUCAAGGGACUUUUCCUGUACUUCUUCAUCACUCAGCUUUAGUUUGAGAACCUUAACAUCUUUCUCAAUAGAUUUAGUUGAAUUAACCUGCUCCUGUAUAGCCUGCAUCUGAUUGAAGUUCUUGGACAUUUUCUUGUAAGCCUUUGUAUAAACCUCAAGAAUUGCUGUUUUAUCUUGAAAAGACUGCAUUGCUGCUCUUUCAGCAUUCCUUAUCUCAGCUUGAAAUGAUUUCUUUUCCUCCAGAGCUCUCUGAAGCUUAUCUGGUGAUUGGACAAUCUUAGAACGCAAAUUGGCAUUGUCAUGAACAGCUUGUACCAAUGCAAAGUCUGCAUUAGAAAUCUUUUCAUCUAUCUCUUUAGCCCUUUCCUUAAGUUUUCUUAUUGAGGCCUUCAACGACAUUUGGUGAUUGUUAAGACCAGAAAUUGUUUGCCUCAGUUCCUUAACAUUAGAAUCUAUUUCUUGAACCAAAGGCAUCUCCCUUUCUCUUGAUUCAUUUUGUACUGCAAUCUCUUCAUUUAACUGAGAUAUUCUAGCCUCCAGAGCUAGUCGUUGUUCAUCAAUGAGAGUCAGAUCUUCCACAAUCGGCCUUAUAGCAUUUAAUUUAGUGUCCCUGUGAAGACAAAAGUUGAGGAUGGCUCCGACAAAGAAGCGGGUACGAUCAGGGUCAGGCUUGAUCAAAUCUCUUAGAGUAAAUAUCUCUGGACAACCCAAAGCAGACAACAUGUUCCUUAUCUUAUGAAACAAAUUAAUAGUCCGAAAAGAGUCGACAUGAAGAUCCGGGUUCUCAAGGUAUUCCAGAGCGGAGAAAUCCACCUGAUCAUGAUCAUCCCUAAAAGACAAGAGAAAGUAAUUAAAAAUAAAAUAUGAUUGAUUGAAACAGAGAAGUAAAGGUUGGAUUAUUAAAUACUGUAGAGUAUCGAUAUGGAGAAGAAUGCUGGAGUAGAGUUUAGUGACAAAGUCGGGAGUGGGUUUGAUGAGAUCUUCGUCGGAGACAGACGCUAUUUGAGCUUCCCCUAAUACAGCGAUGAUGUCUUGUCGGGGGAGUGUUGGGUAAUCAAAUCUCGACAUUUCACUCUUCUUUUGCGAAUCACCACUUUCUGAAUCGGGUUCAACUUAUCUCCUACUUUGAUGAAAGAAGAAGUAUAAUCUUGUAUUAACUUUUUUAGAUGUUGAGCUUCCUGAGUGUGAGUGGCCGGAGAUAGAUCCGUCUUCCACCAAUCCAAAAUUUUGGACUUCGCCGGAGCUUGCUUGGCCAGAGCUGUUUUGAGCUGCUGUUGCUGCUUUUAAUAUUGCGUUUACCGGAGUUGCUGAUACUUCCUGUUGGAGCUAUUUGUUUGCAGGUUUUCGCUGAUGGCUCCUUACCCAAGUUGCUGCUUCGCGGUGGUCCUCGACGGUCGCUGCUGCUGGUGGGGUUCGCCGGAAAAGAGAAGAGAGAAAACAGCGUUGUCCGGCUCAGGCUGGCUGCUGGCGGUUGUCUCCGGUUGCAACGCUGCCCUCUCUCACUAGUCGCUGCUGGUUGGAGCUGCGUGGCACGCUAAAGAGGAGUAGAGGAAGAGAAGAGCAAGGGGGAGGCAAGGAGGAGGGACGGCGGCUGGGAAGAGAGGGUGGGGCGUCGUCACCUCUGUUCGCCGGAAAAUUGGAGAGGAGAGGGGCGGCUGAUU